rnacentral:rRNA from 1 species
AGUGAACGCUGGCGGUAGGCCUAACACAUGCAAGUCGAACGGCAGCACAGUAAGAGCUUGCUCUUACGGGUGGCGAGUGGCGGACGGGUGAGGAAUACAUCGGAAUCUACUUUUUCGUGGGGGAUAACGUGGGGAAACUUACGCUAAUACCGCAUACGACCUACGGGUGAAAGCAGGGGAUCUUCGGACCUUGCGCGAUUGAAUGAGCCGAUGUCGGAUUAGCUAGUUGGCGGGGUAAAGGCCCACCGAGGCGACGAUCCGUAGCUGGUCUGAGAGGAUGAUCAGCCACACUGGAACUGAGACACGGUCCAGACUCCUACGGGAGGCAGCAGUGGGGAAUAUUGGACAAUGGGCGCAAGCCUGAUCCAGCCAUACCGCGUGGGUGAAGAAGGCCUUCGGGUUGUAAAGCCCUUUUGUUGGGAAAGAAAAGCAGCAGGUUAAUACCCCGCUGUUCUGACGGUACCCAAAGAAUAAGCACCGGCUAACUUCGUG